GCCAUUCUGGGCUAAAGUUUGAAUAAAAACAAGAUUUCCUAGUGUUCUGGUUUUGUUUUGGAGGAUUUAGAGAUCUCCAAAACGGAGAAAAGCCAUCACGUUUAAUAUUAUGUAAUAAGGUCAAAUUUCAUUUUAAGUACACCAGAUUCCAAAAUCCAAAUGCCAGACCCCUGCUCACCACUUUAACAUCUCAGAGUGUUGUGAGGACCUCAUUUUUUUAUAGAGAAGAAAGUUACAUCCUGAAAUCUCUAUCUUUUAAACUGGUCUCUGCUCAAGCUCAUUUGGUCAGUGAUCUCUUCCCCGACCACCAUUAUAAAAUAGCAACUCCUUCCUUCCACUCCAGCCUCCCUAUUACUCAGAGAGGCACAGCAAGAGAGGGAACACAAGCAGGGGGAG